rnacentral:rRNA from 1 species
GUAUACUCCAUAGUUCGUUAUUACUGGAAUGUUUUUCGAACGAAAGAUCCGUCGCUUCAGGAUGAGUCUGCGGCCGAUUAGGUAGUUGUUAGGGUAAUUGCCCAACAAGCCUGUAAUCGGUACGGGUUGUGGGAGCAAGAGCCCGGAGAUGGAUUCUGAGACACGAAUCCAGGCCCUACGGGGCGCAGCAGGCGCGAAAACUUUACCAUGCGGGCAACCGUGAUAAGGAAACCCCGAGUGCCAGCACAGGCUGGCUGUCCGCCAGUUUAAACAACUGGCGAAGAAAGGGCCGGGCAAGACCGGUGCCAGCCGCCGCGGUAAUACCGGCGGCUCGAGUGGUGGCCGCUAUUACUGGGCUUAAAGGGUCCGUAGCUUGAUAAUAGGGUCCCUUGAGAAAUCCGCCGGCUUAACUGGCGGGCGUUCAGGGGAAACUUGUUUUCUAGGGACCGGGAGAGGUGAGGGGUACUGCCGGGGUAGGAGUGAAAUCCUGUAAUCCCGGUGGGACCACCUAUGGCGAAGGCAUCUCACCAGAACGGGUCCGACAGUGAGGGACGAAAGCUGGGGGAGCAAACCGGAUUAGAUACCCGGGUAGUCCCAGCUGUAAACUAUGUGCGUUAGGUGU